UACGUAGGGGGCUAGCGUUGUCCGGAUUUAUUGGGCGUAAAGAGCGUGUAGGCGGCCAUGUAGGUCCGGUGUGAAAACUCGAGGCUUAACCUCGAGAUGUCAUCGGAAACCAUUUGGCUAGAGUCCGGAAGAGGAGAGUGGAAUUCCUGGUGUAGCGGUGAAAUGCGCAGAUAUCAGGAAGAACACCAAUGGCGAAAGCAGCUUUCUGGGACGGUACUGACGCUGAGACGCGAAAGCGUGGGGAGCGAACAGG
rnacentral:rRNA from 1 species